GAUGAACGCUGGCGGCGUGCUUAACACAUGCAAGUCGAACGGGAAUUCUUUUAUUGCUUCUUCGGUCGAUUUACUUUAAUUCUAGUGGCGGACGGGUGAGUAACGCGUGGUUAUCCUGCCUUAUACAGGGGGAUAACAGUCAGAAAUGGCUGCUAAUACCGCAUAAGCGCACAGAGCUGCAUGUCUCAGUGUGCACAACUCCGAUGGCAUAAGAUGGACCGGCGUUGUAUUAGCUGGUUGGUGGGGUAACGGCCCACCAAGGCGACGAUCCAUAGACGGCCUGAGAGAGUGAACGGCGACAUUGGGACUGAGACACGGUCCAGACUCCUACGGGAGGCGGCAGAGGGGAAUAUAGCACAAUGGGGGGAGCCCUGAUGCAGCGACGCCGCGUGAAGGAAGAAGUAUCUCGGGAAGUAAACUUCUAUCAGCAGGGAAGAUAGUGACGGUACCUGACGAAGAAGCCCCGGCUAACUACGUG
rnacentral:rRNA from 1 species